rnacentral:rRNA from 1 species
GACGAACGCUGGCGGCGUGCUUAACGCAUGCAAGUCGAACGGAAAGGCCCUGCUUUUGUGGGGUGCUCGAGUGGCGAACGGGUGAGUAACACGUGAGUAACCUGCCCUUGACUUUGGGAUAACUUCAGGAAACUGGGGCUAAUACCGGAUAGGAGCUCCUGCUGCAUGGUGGGGGUUGGAAAGUUUCGGCGGUUGGGGAUGGACUCGCGGCUUAUCAGCUCGUUGGUGGGGUAGUGGCUUACCAAGGCUUUGACGGGUAGCCGGCCUGAGAGGGUGACCGGCCACAUUGGGACUGAGAUACGGCCCAGACUCCUACGGGAGGCAGCAGUGGGGAAUAUUGCACAAUGGGCGGAAGCCUGAUGCAGCAACGCCGCGUGCGGGAUGACGGCCUUCGGGUUGUAAACCGCUUUCGCCUGUGACGAAGCGUGAGUGACGGUAAUGGGUAAAGAAGCACCGGCUAACUACGUG